rnacentral:rRNA from 1 species
AUUGAACGCUGGCGGCAGGCCUAACACAUGCAAGUCGAACGAGUGGCGGACGGGUGAGUAUUGUCUGGGAGACUGUCUGCUGGCGGGGGAUCAAUCCGGUAAAAGGUAGCUCAUAUCGCAUACCAUCGGCUGUGCACAGAUGGGAUUUGCUAGUGUGGGGGGUAACGGCUCACCAAGGCUGCGAUCCCCAGCUGGUCUGAGAGGAUGACCAGCCAACCUGGAACUUGGACCCGGGCCAGACUCCUACGGGAGGCAGCGAGGGGGAAAAUUGGACAAUGGGCGGAAGCCUGAUGCAGCCAAGCCGCGUGGUGGAAGAAGGCCUUCGGGUUGUAAAGGCCUUUCAGCGGGGAGGCGUUACCCGGAGAAGAAGCCCCGGCUAACUCCGUGCCAGCAGACGCGGUAAGUC